rnacentral:rRNA from 1 species
UACGUAGGGUGCGAGCGUUGUCCGGAAUUACUGGGCGUAAAGAGCUCGUAGGUGGUUUGUCGCGUUGUUCGUGAAAACUCACAGCUCAACUGUGGGCGUGCGGGCGAUACGGGCAGACGUAGAGUACUGCAGGGGAGACUGGAAUUCCUGGUGUAGCGGUGGAAUGCGCAGAUAUCAGGAGGAACACCAACAGCGAAGGCAGCACUCUGGGCCGGUACUGACGCUGAGGAGCGAAAGCAUGGGGAGCGAACAGG